AUUAUAAAAUAUUUAUAUUUCAUUAACACUCAUGAUUAUUUUUAUAAAUUGAUGUUUGUUGACUCAAAGUAUACAUCUCUCAUCUAUUUUAACUUUUUUCUUCAAUUCUGCGCGGCACAAAAACUUAACAUAAUACUAAUCGGUAAUAACAUGAUAAUCGAUUCAAUAUACAUAUAAAUGGUCAAACCAUAAUGAUUAGCACUUGUUGAAAAGCAUCUACAUGGAUAAAUAAAUAAAUUAUUAUAGAUAAAUAAAUUAUUAUAGAUAAAAGUAUAUUAGUUAAAUGGAUGAUAUAAACUUGUAUUCGGGUUAUAUGAAACAUUUUACCCAUAAAUAUAAGAAUUUAUAAAACAAAUUGAAAAGACAAAUUUUGCUCCAGAACAUCGUGACUUCGCAGUUGUGACUGUAGGAUACCGCACGAAGUGACUUCUGGAGGAAGACAUUCAAUAAGCAUAAGAAUUUACCAACGGACACCGCACCCAUUAAAAUAAUAAUUUUCAGUUGAAGAGAAGAGAAAAAUCGUGUGAAAUAUCUAAAAUACCCUUGGACCCAUAUGUUAGCUCUCCCACCUCACUUCUCUCUAUCCCCUCCGUCGGCGUCGUGGGGGCCAUUGCUGCCGACGUGAAGCAGCGCAGAUUGGCAAGAGAGGGAGGCAUCACGUGCCAACCAGCCAUGGCGGCACUUAAAAACAAUAAAAACAAAUCAUAAUGAUUGAGGAGGUCACUGGCGUGAGGAGAGUAGCACCACCAUGGAGAGGGUGUUGCCGCUGAGGGGCAAGCGUCACGUGUUGUAGUCUUCGGAGAAAAAUAGCGAGGGGGGAGUGAGCCAAGAGUGGGUGCCGCCGCAGAGAGGUGAGGGAGCGUCAUCACACGUCACCGCCAAGGUGCUGAAUCAUGAGAGUGAGAGCGAGGGGAAGGUGGGGAGAAUGUGAGAGAUGAUAAGGAUGGGGACUGGGGAGGAGGAUAAGGAUGAAGGGAUGACCGUGUGAGGCUCAACUCAGCUUGGUGAUUUAGGGUGUCGGUUUCACCUAUUAGAGCAUCUCUAGCAGCCUCUUUAAAUCUGACUCUUCAAAUAUUUAUUUGGCCAGCUUGCCAAAACAAAUGCAUAGUUAAAUUUAUCUUCACUCCAACACCAUCUCCAUUACACUAUCCAAUCUAAUUGUAGAUCCUACAUAUCAGCAUCUCUACUAUUUCACUCCUUCAACCCCCCCCCCCCCCUCUCCUCUCUCUCUUCUCCCCUCUUCUCUGCCGCACCAUCAGUGGAAUCCACGCGUGGACGGCGGUGGUGGAGGCCGCGCAGGAGCAGGGAGGUGGCGCUAGUCAGCAUCGCCACCGCCGUCCUCGUCGUCACGGGCAUAGGAGAACGAUGAGAACAGACUCUGAGUAUGCCAGCUGGAUGCUUAGACCUUUGGUGAAAUAAACCAGACAACAGCAUUCAAUAAAUAACGCAGCUGUACAACAAUGGUCAGUGGCUCGGUGCAUACAAUACGAACUUCCGACACACCUCUGCAUCUACCCCUCCACCCCUCCGUCAAAAAAAAAAAAACCAAUCUUAGCUACGAACAUAGACAUAUGCGUGUUCAAGUUCGUAGCUAGGGUUUGUCUUUUUUUGAGGCGGAGUAGUACAUCACAGCAUUGACAAAGUUAAUGAGAUUACAGAGGAGCCCUUGCAGGCUAAGAGGACAUAGAGGAAAGGAGUGAAGAGGCCUUUUCAUGUCAACACAUGCCUGAAAUGGAUCAAGAAUCCCCUUGAAAGUUCUCAUCUUCACAGCUGAAAAUUAAAACCAUAAGCAAUCUGUCUGAGGAGGUUUUAUCCUACCCAUUAAUGCCACAGUGCAUGUGUGUUGUGUUGGAUUGGGAUACUUCUGGUUUAAGAAAUUCGGAGGAAAGCCGAGGCUUCAAAGACAAAUGGCAGAUAGGUUUGCAUGUUAA